AAAGGACCUAGGAAAGGCAUAUUCCAGGAUCACUUUUUACAUAUGCCUAGAAACACACUUUAAAGGAGAGAUGCACCAGGACAUUCAGCAACAAUUCAGCCUGGACAGGUAAUAAGGCAGACUGUGGCAGCCUGACGUUUCUUACCUUCAUUGUUGUUGUUUCAGACAUUUUAAUUUGUUUUUCAGAUAGUGAUAUCUGAUACUGAGGAUAUGGAUCCACCUGAAAUAAAUCCAGACAAGACUUCUUGCUACAGUAAAAACACAGACCUGUAUGCACCAGGUAUUGAGGAUGAGGAGCUGGUUGCAGUCCAUGUGGAGAAUUUCCAACACACAGCAGUGUAAAAUGAGUUUUUUACUGUGGCAUUCCAGUUUUUCACUGUGCAGUAUUUCUGGUAUUUAAAUCAUUUUUGUAAAAGUAGCAAAUUGUGCACUGUCAGAAAUAUCCACUAAUUAGAUUACUUUUUGUCAUUGCAGGGAGGAGAACAUUACACUAGCUGACAUUGUGGCAAACCUGUCACUUCCUAUUGAUCACAAAACAGUCAGCAGGUUCAACAUCUCAAAGACUAAUGUUUGGGAUGGAGCAGUCAGAGGUUUUAAGCGUACAACAUAUUCUGAAACCUGUGACAUGCUGGUCAAAUUUACUGAUGAUGCUGGUGUUUACGAGGAGGGAAUUGACACAGGUGGUCCCAGAUGAGAAUUUUUAACUCUGCUAAUGAAACACCUGAAAGACC